GAUCCUGGCUCAGGAUGAACGCUGGCGGCGUGCCUAAUACAUGCAAGUCGAUCGCACUACUUCGGUAGUGAGAGGCGAACGGGUGAGUAACACGUAGGUAACAUAUCUAUAUGACGAGGAUAACGGUUGGAAACGACUGCUAAGACUGGAUAGGAGUAGAGGAGGCAUCUCUUUUACUUUAAAGGACUUUUCGGAGUACGCGUAUGGAGUGACCUGCGGCGCAUUAGUUAGUUGGUGGGGUAGUGGCCUACCAAGACGAUGAUGCGUAGCCGGACUGAGAGGUUGAACGGCCACAUUGGGACUGAGACACGGCCCAGACUCCUACGGGAGGCAGCAGUAGGGAAUUUUCGGCAAUGGGGGGAACCCUGACCGAGCCAACGCCGCGUGAAUGACGAAGUACUUCGGUAUGUAAAGUUCUUUUAUUAAGGAAGAAAGUGCAGUGGAAAAACUGUAUAGACGGUACUUAUUGAAUAAGCCCCGGCUAACUAUGUGCCAGCCGCCGC
rnacentral:rRNA from 1 species